GCUCCGGUGGUCUAGUGUUUAGAGCGUCUGCCUAAGAUGCAGGGGGUCACGGGUGCGAAUUCCGAUUGAGUCA